UAAGGUUAAGUUAAUAAGGGCGCACGGUGGAUGCCUUGGCACUAGAAGCCGAAGAAGGACGUGACUAACGACGAAAUGCUUUGGGGAGCUGUAAGUAAGCGCUGAUCCAGAGAUGUCCGAAUGGGGGAACCCACUAGUUAAUGACUAGUAUCCAUAUCUGUUAAGGAUAUGAGAAGGAAGACGCAGUGAACUGAAACAUCUAAGUAGCUGCAGGAAGAGAAAGCAAAAGCGAUUGCCUUAGUAGCGGCGAGCGAAACGGCAGGAGGGCAAACCGAAGUGUUUACACUUCGGGGUUGUAGGACUGCGAUAUAGGAUUAAUCAUUAUAGAAGAAUUACCUGGGAAGGUAAGCCAAAGAGAGUAACAGCCUCGUAUUUAAAAUGAUAGAUUAACCUUAGCAGUAUCCUGAGUACGGCGAGACACGCGAAAUCUCGUCGGAAUCUGGGAGGACCAUCUCCCAACCCUAAAUACUCUCUAGUGACCGAUAGUGAACCAGUACCGUGAGGGAAAGGUGAAAAGCACCCCGGGAGGGGAGUGAAAUAGAACCUGAAACCGUGUGCCUACAACAAGUUCGAGCCCGUUAAUGGGUGAGAGCGUGCCUUUUGUAGAAUGAACCGGCGAGUUACGAUAUGAUGCGAGGUUAAGUUGAAGAGACGGAGCCGUAGGGAAACCGAGUCUUAAUAGGGCGUCAUAGUAUCAUGUUGUAGACCCGAAACCAUGUGACCUACCCAUGAGCAGGUUGAAGGUGAGGUAAAACUCACUGGAGGACCGAACCAGGGCACGUUGAAAAGUGCUUGGAUGACUUGUGGGUAGCGGAGAAAUUCCAAACGAACUUGGAGAUAGCUGGUUCUCUCCGAAAUAGCUUUAGGGCUAGCGUCGAUGUUAAGUCUCUUGGAGGUAGAGCACUGUUUGGGUGAGGGGUCCAUCCCGGAUUACCAAUCUCAGAUAAACUCCGAAUGCCAACGAGAUAUAAUCGGCAGUCAGACUGCGAGUGCUAAGAUCCGUAGUCGAAAGGGAAACAGCCCAGACCACCAGCUAAGGUCCCAAAAUAUAUGUUAAGUGGAAAAGGAUGUGGGGUUGCACAGACAACUAGGAUGUUAGCUUAGAAGCAGCUAUUCAUUCAAAGAGUGCGUAAUAGCUCACUAGUCGAGUGACCCUGCGCCGAAAAUGUACCGGGGCUAAAACAUAUUACCGAAGCUGUGGAUGACACAAAAGUGUCAUGGUAGGAGAGCGUUCUAUGUGUGAAGAAGGUGUACCGUGAGGAGCGCUGGAACGCAUAGAAGUGAGAAUGCCGGUAUGAGUAGCGCAAGACAGGUGAGAAUCCUGUCCACCGUAAGACUAAGGUUUCCAGGGGAAGGCUCGUCCGCCCUGGGUUAGUCGGGACCUAAGGAGAGACCGAAAGGUGUAUCCGAUGGACAACAGGUUGAUAUUCCUGUACUAGAGUAUAUAGUGAUGGAGGGACGCAGUAGGCUAACUAAACCAGACGAUUGGAAGUGUCUGGU
rnacentral:rRNA from 1 species